GAUGAACGCUGGCGGCGUGCCUAAUACAUGCAAGUCGAGCGAACAGACGAGGAGCUUGCUCCUCUGACGUUAGCCGCGGACGGGUGAGUAACACGUGGAUAACCUACCUAUAAGACUGGGAUAACUUCGGGAAACCGGCGCUAAUCCCGGAUAAUAUAUUGAACCGCAUGGUUCAAUAGUGAAAGACGGUUUUGCUGUCACUUAUCGAUGGAUCCGCGCCGCAUUAGCUAGUUGGUAAGGUAACGGCUUACCACGGCAACGAUGCGUAGCCGACGUGAGAGGGUGAUCGGCCACACUGGAACUGAGACACGGUCCAGACUCCUACGGUAGGCAGCAGUAGGGAAUCUGCCGCAAUGGUCGAAAGUCUGACGGAGCAACGCCGCGUGAGUGAUGAAGGUCCUCGGAUCGUAAAACUCUGUUACGAGGUAAGAACAAAUGUGUAAGUAACUAUGCACGUCUUGACGGUACCUAAUCAGAAAGCCACGGCUAACUACGUG
rnacentral:rRNA from 1 species